rnacentral:rRNA from 1 species
GACGAACGCUGGCGGCGUGCCUAACACAUGCAAGUUGAGCGACGAACCAGGGCUUGCCCUGGGGCAAAGCAGCGAACGGGUGAGUAACACGUGGGUAACCUACCCCGAUAACCGGGACAACCCGAGGAAACUCGGGCUAAUACCGGAUGUGCUCACUGGACUUCGGUUCAGUGCGUAAAGGAAGCUUCGGCCUCCGUAUCGGGAGGGGCCCGCGGCCCAUUAGUUUGUUGGUGAGGUAACGGCUCACCAAGACCGCGAUGGGUAGCUGGUCUGAGAGGACGAUCAGCCACACUGGGACUGAGACACGGCCCAGACUCCUCCGGGAGGCAGCAGUGGGGAAUCUUGCGCAAUGCGCGAAAGCGUGACGCAGCACCGCCGCGUGGGGGAAGAAGGCCUUCGGGUUGUAAACCCCUUUCAGGAGGGACGAAGGUUCGGCGGUGAAUAGCCGUCCGGACUGACGGUACCUCCACAAGAAGCCCCGGCUAACUACGUG